rnacentral:lncRNA from 1 species
UUCCCGAUUGGCCCCCUCCCAAUUUAGCUCCCCCAUGCGAGGAGGAAGAGGAGGAAGGCAGGGACCAAAACAAAGAGACUCCCUCCCCCCCAACCGGGCGAGGCUCGCAGACCGAGCGGAUUGUGAGGGUCUCUGGGGCUGGCAGGGGGAAAGAGAAGAGACGGGUUUUCUCCAUCGCUGCAACUCCUGAGCCCCCCCAAAAAGCGGUCCUGCACCCCCCUGACCAAGGGCUCACCUUGCUGGUCCCCUGGCAGGAAACUCAUGAGGAAUCCCCUCCCCCUUCCAAAGCAGCCUCUUCCCCCCCUCGGGGGAUCCUAGAGGGUAGGGGGGCAGAGCUGGGCUUCCCACCUCCAGUUCCCCUUCACUACAGUUCCUCUUCUUCUUCCCUGUUUUUUCCCCGAAUGGGGGAGGGGAGGUGGAGGACAAAGCGGGUGGGGGGAGGGAGGCAGAACAGAAGGGGCAGAGCCUGAAAGGGGGGGUGGAAAGGAUAUUUUCAUCUCUCCUGAGGGAGGAUUUUUUUAAAAAAAUGAGCAGCUACUAAAGCAGGUGGUUCUUGCCCAGCCAGCCUUCCAGAGGGAGGGGCUUCUGCCCAGAGACAGGUGAUGCAUUAAGGAGCAGGAGCAGGAGUGAGCUCUCAUUGGGUCUCCAUUGCUCUUCCCUGGCCGGAGCCAGAACCUCUCCCUUGCAUGUCGCCGGGUUGCCAGGCAACCCCGUCAUAGAUGCCAUAAUAAGGCAGGGGGACACCCAAGACCAGCUCUUGAGGGCUUCCACCCAGCAACUUCAUCAACUUUGAGGAAUUCCUUUCCAAUUUUCUGGAAACUUAAGUACAACCGUUGGGGAGAAAUUGAGAAGGAAAAAGAGUUAAUAUACUUUGAAUUUGAUGUACUUACUUGGGUGUGGAAAUGAUCUUCCCUUCAUGACUCGUCCCUCCAAAAGGUCCAUCAAUGGAGAGCCCUUCCAACCUCAACCCCAAAGGAACAUCCAGUCUGGCAUCAUCCCCUCCUUGGUUCUCUCCCCUCGCCUUUUUGGCUGUCUUUCCUUCCUUCUCUGUGACUCAGGCGGAGCCCGAACACCUCAUUCCUUAAUCCUGCAUAUUUUGGAAGUGAUUGUUUCUCUUCUUUUUUCUAAUCUACCAGAUGAUGAUGGACAGGAAAGGAACAACAGGAGAGGAAGAAUUGCCGAGCAAAAUCUGGGGCAACCUGGGGAGGAAUUCGCAAUCAAGAAGUUUGAAGUCUUCUGAAGAUGUAUUCUGUCUUUCUAGAUUAUGAGAACCAGUGUUUUAAUGUGUUUGUAUUUUAGUUUCAAACAUGCCUUAAAUUUUCCCUAUUAUCUAAAUUUAAGCUGCUACAUCUUUUUACAAGAUACAAGGAUGUAUUUUAAGUAAGCCUGCAGUUUUUGCAUAAGUGCAUGAUGUUUGGAUUUAAAGAUCUGUACCAACUUUUUUUCCUCACGCCUUAGAUUCUUAGAUUUAGUUUAUUUAAGUAUGGAAUCUAGAGAUGAUGUAAAUAAAUGAACUUGUACAAAAUUAACA